ensembl:lncRNA
CCUGAAUAACAUAACUUAGAACUUUGGCCACGUGCAUAGCUUAAGUUAAAUCCGAGAGGAAAAAAUGGUUUUAGGUGUUAACUGUUUAAAGAUUAAAAUAGCGAUGUGUAAUUAAACGAUUACUAAACCAACUGCAAUUUUAAAUGUUUUUAAAUCGUACAUGGAUAACUUCCAACAGUUGCCAGUUGGUCGGGUGUUCUAUGUGAACCAUGGUUUUACCCCGUCUGUGUCUUUUGCUGUUGGUCUGCUCUUGUUCUGUGGUUUAACGUUUGACGGCAAAUAAAGACAGUUAUAAACUACUGCAAUUAGUAAAUGACAGUACUAUUCUAAUAAUUCUCUAAAAAUAUAAUGCUGGCUUUGUAAUUUCAUAAUCAAAAGUAUGUUUUUGUUUCUAACUAAAAACAUUUUUUUUCCUUUUCAGAUACAUCAAGCAUCUUUUCUUACAUCUAAAUGGUGGGACAACCUCCUAGACCUUGUAUGUAUGCUACAAAGAUUGUUUUUUAAUACAUAGAAGAAUCAAUACAUCUGAUUAUGAACAAUUAAUCUCAGUUUGAAUGUUAUAUGAUUCAACAUAAAAAAGCAUAACAUACAUAGUUAAAAACAUAUUUAAAAACAUAUUUUACAGACAUGAACAGCCUAAUAUCAUCUUGCAAUCAACCAUAGUUUCUUAUAAAUUGGACCUAUGUAGUUAUUUCAUUGUUAUAAAAAAGUUAUUAAUAAAUUAUUAUUAGUAGUAGUAGCUGUAUUUUGACUUACAGUAAAAUCAAGUAUAAAUUAAAUUAUUUAUGUUGAUUAUUUAAUAUUUGGAUGCAACUGAUUUUUUUCUUUUGUCUUUGUUCACAGAUAUGUGAAUGUGGCCAUGCAAAGUGUGUGACAUUUCAUUAUCUACCCGGUAUGAAUUGCUAAAACAUUUUAGGCUGAAACAUUUCCACUAUGGUCGCAAUUGCCGGUAUCCCUGUCUAUAUGCAGAUUGCCCAUGUACAUUCACAAGUUGGAAGAAUCUUUUGAGUCACACAUAUCAAACACACAGGAAGUUAACAGCAGCAAAUGUUCAGUUAACUACAUUCUUUUGUCAGACGUGUGCAUGUAAGGAAAUUUUAACUGAAAAAGAAUACUUUGCUCAUGUAAAUCAACAUCUUAGGCAGUAUGAAAACGUAACUUGUAUGUUUGAAGGAUGUACGUUUGAGACAAACAUAUAUGGAACAUUUCACUCGCAUAAAAAUCGUAAACAUAAUCCCUACACUCUAAACGAUUUUAAGGCAGGUGUUGUUAAACUCGCUGCUCAGUCAGACGAAUCUGGUAGUACUGUAGAUGAUAGCCCCUCAUCUUCUGCUGACAUAGAUUUUGUACCUCCGUUAGAUGCAGAUAGUGAUAUAGAUACUUCAGAUGACCUGCCGAAAUUAGUAGAACAAAAAAUAGCUGCAGUUUUUCUGAAGUUGGAAAACAUUUUUCAUGUGCCAUCUACAGCUAUUGAUGAACUACUUGAUGAACUACACUUCCUCUUAAGUACUGUGUCUGUGCCUGUAACUUGUAGCAGUCUUUCAGAUUUUUUCAAAAACAAAAACCUUGAAGUUGAUAGCUUAAUUAUUAAGGAACUAGCUGAUGUACUGUGUAAAUCUAACCCUUUAGUAAAAUCAAUAGGGAAAGAUGGUCCCCUUUCAACAACUUAUAAGAGAAAAGAGUACUAUAAGGAUUUGUUAAAUAUUGUUGAGCCAGUGGAGUUUAUUCUGGACCAAAAAAAGAGCAGGACAUUUCAGUAUAUCCCAUUACUGCAGUCUUUACAGCAGCUACUUGAUUGUACUGCAGUGUUAAACGGUAUUAUCAGUAGCCACGGAACACAGGAAAGUACAGACCAGUUAGAUAAUCAGCAGUAUCGCUCUAUAAGAGACGGUUUGUAUUUUAAGGACAACACUUUCCUGUCAGGUGAUGAGUUGCGAAUUUGUUUAACUUUGUACAUCGAUGAUUUUGAGCUAUGUAAUCCCCUGGGUACAUCGCGAAAAAAACACAAAUUGUGUAGUGUGUACUGGAUUCUGAAUAACUUGCCACCAGGCUCUCAUUCAGCACUGUCUUCCAUUUAUUUAACGGUUUUGUGCAAAAGUGACGAUGUAAAGGUAUAUGGCUAUGGAAAAAUUCUAGAGCCACUUUUACAAGACCUUUGUACUUUAGAAGAGCAUGGUGUUUUCAGCUCAAAACUUGGGAAGUUUGUCAAAGGAACAGUCCAUAGUGUUGUAGCGGACAAUUUGGGAGCCCACGGAUUGGCUGGUUUUGUAGAGAGCUUCUCUGGCCAGUAUAUUUGUCGAUUUUGUACUGCUCAGAAAGUAGAUAUUCAAACAAGGGAUGUUCAUUCAGGUGCUUUUUUGCUUCGAACAAAAGAAAUACAUGAAGCACAUGUAAAGUCUGCACAGGAAACUGACACAAAUUGCUUUGGUGUGAAGAGAGCGUGUGUUUUAACAGAAAAUCUUCAACAUUUUCACGUUAACACAGGCUAUCCCCCAGAUAUAGUGCAUGACUUAUUUGAGGGUAUUGUCCCUUCUGAACUGGCACUAUGUUUCAGUGUUCUCAUCUCUAAGAAGUAUUUCAGUCUUGAAUGUCUUAACACACGAAUCGUCAAAUUUCCCUAUAAGUGGAGUGACAAAAAAAAUCGAUCUCAAGUUAUACCAAACAGCUAUUCAUGUAAGAAGACAAUAGGUGGCAACGCCCAUGAGAAUUGGAAUCUAAUUCGAUUGCUUCCAUUUCUAGUAGGAGACUUGAUUCCAGAGGAUGAGCUUGCUUGGCAAGUGAUAUUAGACCUGAAGGAAAUUGUAGAAUUAGCUGUGGCACCAGUUCACACUGAUGAGACAAUUGCUUAUCUUGAUGUCAAAGUGUCUGAACACAGACAGAGACUACUCGAGCUUAACCCGGACGUAAAGCUUUUACCUAAACACCACUAUCUUGAGCAUUACCCGCACCUGAUUAAGUGUUUUGGGCCUCUUCUAGGUUUAUGGACGAUGCGAUUUGAAGCUAAACAUAGCUUUUUUAAACAAGUAGCUCGACACACAAAUAAUUUCAGGAAUAUUGCACUCACACUGGCAGCCAAACACCAGCAAUUCAUCAGUUACCACAUAUAUUCAUCCACACUCAAUACAUCAAAUUUGGAAGUUUCAAAUGUCUCUACAGUCCAGGUUGAUGUUCUGAAUAAGGAAGUUGUGUUGGCUCUCAGGCAGAAGUAUCCAAAUAUCAGUCAAGUUCACCUUGCAAAAAGUGUCACCACUAGAGGAAUUAACUACAAAAAUGGAAUGUUAAUUGCAUGUGGUUCAACUGCUGGAAUGCCAGAAUUUGCAGAAAUUCUACAAAUGUGCAUAAGGGGAGAUGAGCUGAGUUUCAUUGUGCGUUUAUUGUGUGCAUGGUAUAGAGACCACUUCAGAUCUUUUGAGUUGACUUCUUCACCAGGUAAAGAGGUUGCCCUGGUUCAGCUUGAAGAACUGACAGACUGCUAUCCACUUGUUGCCUAUACAGUUUGUUCCAGACGUAUGGUAACCCUGAAGAGACACAUCGUCAUCAAAGGUGUUAUUUAUAAGACUUUCAGUACCUUUUUUAAAAGAAUGUAGUACUUUUAACAUCAAUGUUUUAUUU